rnacentral:rRNA from 1 species
UACGUAGGGGGCGAGCGUUGUCCGGAUUUAUUGGGCGUAAAGAGCUCGUAGGCGGUUCGGCAAGUCGGGUGUGAAAUUUCGAGGCUCAACCUCGAAACGCCACUCGAUACUGCUGUGACUGGAGUCCGGUAGAGGAGUGCGGAAUUCCUGGUGUAGCGGUGAAAUGCGCAGAUAUCAGGAGGAACACCAGCGGCGAAGGCGGCGCUCUGGGCCGGUACUGACACUGAGGAGCGAAAGCGUGGGUAGCAAACAGG